UACGAAGGGGGCUAGCGUUGCUCGGAAUGACUGGGCGUAAAGCGCACGUAGGCGGCUUUGCAAGUCAGAGGUGAAAGCCUGGAGCUCAACUCCAGAAUUGCCUUUGAGACUGCAUCGCUUGAACACGGGAGAGGUGAGUGGAACUGCGAGUGUAGAGGUGAAAUUCGUAGAUAUUCGCAAGAACACCAGUGGCGAAGGCGGCUCACUGGCCCGGUACUGACGCUGAGGUGCGAAAGCGUGGGGAGCAAACAGG
rnacentral:rRNA from 1 species